rnacentral:rRNA from 1 species
ACCCGCUGAACUUAAGCAUAUCAAUAAGCGGAGGAAAAGAAACCAACAGGGAUUGUCUUAGUAACGGCGAGUGAAGCGACAAAAGCUCAAAUUUGAAAUCUGGCACCUUCGGUGUCCGAGUUGUAAUUUGAAGAAGGUAACUUUGGAGUUGGCUCUUGUCUAUGUUCCUUGGAACAGGACGUCACAGAGGGUGAGAAUCCCGUGCGAUGAGAUGUCCAACUCUAUGUAAAGUGCUUUCGAAGAGUCGAGUUGUUUGGGAAUGCAGCUCUAAGUGGGUGGUAAAUUCCAUCUAAAGCUAAAUAUUGGCGAGAGACCGAUAGCGAACAAGUACAGUGAUGGAAAGAUGAAAAGAACUUUGAAAAGAGAGUGAAAAAGUACGUGAAAUUGUUGAAAGGGAAGGGUUUGAGAUCAGACUUGGUAUUUUGUAUGUCUUGCUUUCGGGUGGGGCCUCUGCAGUUUACUGGGCCAGCAUCGGUUUGGACGGUAGGAUAAUGACAUUGGAAUGUGGCACUACUUCGG